CAGGCUUAACACAUGCAAGUCGAGGGGCAGCAUGGUCUUAGCUUGCUAAGGCCGAUGGCGACCGGCGCACGGGUGAGUAACACGUAUCCAACCUGCCGUCUACUCUUGGACAGCCUUCUGAAAGGAAGAUUAAUACAAGAUGGCAUCAUGAGUCCGCAUGUUCACAUGAUUAAAGGUAUUCCGGUAGACGAUGGGGAUGCGUUCCAUUAGAUAGUAGGCGGGGUAACGGCCCACCUAGUCUUCGAUGGAUAGGGGUUCUGAGAGGAAGGUCCCCCACAUUGGAACUGAGACACGGUCCAAACUCCUACGGGAGGCAGCAGUGAGGAAUAUUGGUCAAUGGGCGAGAGCCUGAACCAGCCAAGUAGCGUGAAGGAUGACUGCCCUAUGGGUUGUAAACUUCUUUUAUAAAGGAAUAAAGUCGGGUAUGGAUACCCGUUUGCAUGUACUUUAUGAAUAAGGAUCGGCUAACUCCGUGCCAGCAGCCGCGGUAAUACGGAGGAUCCGAGCGUUAUCCGGAUUUAUUGGGUUUAAAGGGAGCGUAGAUGGAUGUUUAAGUCAGUUGUGAAAGUUUGCGGCUCAACCGUAAAAUUGCAGUUGAUACUGGAUAUCUUGAGUGCAGUUGAGGCAGGCGGAAUUCGUGGUGUAGCGGUGAAAUGCUUAGAUAUCACGAAGAACUCCGAUUGCGAAGGCAGCCUGCUAAGCUGCAACUGACAUUGAGGCUCGAAAGUGUGGGUAUCAAACAGGAUUAGAUACCCUGGUAGUCCACACGGUAAACGAUGAAUACUCGCUGUUUGCGAUAUACUGCAAGCGGCCAAGCGAAAGCGUUAAGUAUUCCACCUGGGGAGUACGCCGGCAACGGUGAAACUCAAAGGAAUUGACGGGGGCCCGCACAAGCGGAGGAACAUGUGGUUUAAUUCGAUGAUACGCGAGGAACCUUACCCGGGCUUAAAUUGCAGAUGAAUUACGGUGAAAGCCGUAAGCCGCAAGGCAUCUGUGAAGGUGCUGCAUGGUUGUCGUCAGCUCGUGCUGUGAGGUGUCGGCUUAAGUGCCAUAACGAGCGCAACCCUUGUUGUCAGUUACUAACAGGUUCCGCUGAGGACUCUGACAAGACUGCCAUCGUAAGAUGUGAGGAAGGUGGGGAUGACGUCAAAUCAGCACGGCCCUUACGUCCGGGGCUACACACGUGUUACAAUGGGGGGUACAGAGGGCCGCUACCACGCGAGUGGAUGCCAAUCCCCAAAACCUCUCUCAGUUCGGACUGGAGUCUGCAACCCGACUCCACGAAGCUGGAUUCGCUAGUAAUCGCGCAUCAGCCACGGCGCGGUGAAUACGUUCCCGGGCCUUGUACACACCGCCCGUCAAGCCAUGGGAGCCGGGGGUACCUGAAGUGCGUAACCGCGAGGAGCGCCCUAGGGUAAAACUGGUGACUGGGGCUA
rnacentral:rRNA from 1 species